rnacentral:rRNA from 1 species
ACGAACGCUGGCGGCGUGCUUAACACAUGCAAGUCGAACGGUAAGGCUCCAGCUUGCUGGGGUACACGAGUGGCGAACGGGUGAGUAACACGUGGGUGACCUGCCCUGCACUUCGGGAUAAGCCUGGGAAACUGGGUCUAAUACCGGAUAGGACCAUGGUGUGGAUACUGUGGUGGAAAGUUUUUUCGGUGUGGGAUGGGCCCGCAGCCUAUCAGCUUGUUGGUGGGGUAAUGGCCUACCAAGGCGGCGACGGGUAGCCGGCCUGAGAGGGUGGACGGCCACAUUGGGACUGAGACACGGCCCAGACUCCUACGGGAGGCAGCAGUGGGGAAUAUUGCACAAUGGGCGGAAGCCUGAUGCAGCGACGCCGCGUGGGGGAUGACGGCCUUCGGGUUGUAAACUCCUUUCACCAUCGACGAAGGGUUUCUGACGGUAGAUGGAGAAGAAGCACCGGCUAACUACGUG